GACGUAGGGCGCGAGCGUUGUCCGGAUUUAUUGGGCGUAAAGAGCUCGUUAGGCGGUUUGUCGCGUCUGCGUGACUGAAAACCUAGGCUCAACCUUGGGCUUGCAGUGGGUACGGGCAGGCUAGAGUUCGGUAGGGGAGACUGGAAUUCCUGGUGUAGCGGUGAAAUGCGCAGAUAUCAGGAGGAACACCGGUGGCGAAGGCGGGUCUCUGGGCCGAUACUGACGUGAGGAGCGAAAGCGUGGGGAGCGAACAGG
rnacentral:rRNA from 1 species